rnacentral:piRNA from 1 species
UAGAUUUUAGGUAUUGACACAGGCCUUUUA